UGGGGAAUAUUGCACAAUGGGCGCAAGCCUGAUGCAGCCAUGCCGCGUGUAUGAAGAAGGCCUUCGGGUUGUAAAGUACUUUCAGCGGGGAGGAAGGGAGUAAAGUUAAUACCUUUGCUCAUUGACGUUACCCGCAGAAGAAGCACCGGCUAACUCCGUGCCAGCAGCCGCGGUAAUACGGAGGGUGCAAGCGUUAAUCGGAAUUACUGGGCGUAAAGCGCACGCAGGCGGUUUGUUAAGUCAGAUGUGAAAUCCCCGGGCUCAACCUGGGAACUGCAUCUGAUACUGGCAAGCUUGAGUCUCGUAGAGGGGGGUAGAAUUCCAGGGGGAGCGGUGAAAUGCGUAGAGAUCUGGAGGAAUACCGGUGGCGAAGGCGGCCCCCUGGACGAAGACUGACGCUCAGGUGCGAAAGCGUGGGGAGCAAACAGG
rnacentral:rRNA from 1 species